GAGGAAUAAKCAUCGGCUAACUCCGUGCCAGCAGCCGCGGUAAUACGGGGGAUGCAAGCGUUAUCCGGAAUCAUUGGGCGUAAAGCGCCUGUAGGUUGUUUAAUAAGUCUGUUGUUAAAGACUGGGGCUUAACCCUAGAAAAGCAAUGGAAACUACUAGACUAGAGUAUGGCAGGGGUAGAGGGAAUUUCUAGUGUAGCGGUGAAAUGCGUAGAUAUUAGAAAGAACACCGGUGGCGAAAGCGCUCUACUGGACCAUUACUGACACUCAGAGGCGAAAGCUAGGGUAGCAAAAGGGAUUAGAUACCCCUGUAGUCCUAGCCGUAAACGAUGGAUACUACAUGUUGUGUUUAUUUCACAGUAUGGUAGCUAACGCGUUAAGUAUCCCGCCUGGGGAGUACGCUCGCAAGGGUGAAACUCAAAGGAAUUGACGGGGGCCCGCACAAGCGGUGGAGCAUGUGGUUUAAUUCGAUGCAACGCGAAGAACCUUACCAGGGCUUGACAUACUGCGAAUCUUUCCGAAAGGAAAGAGUGCCUUCGGGAAUGCAGAUACAGGUGGUGCAUGGCUGUCGUCAGCUCGUGUCGUGAGAUGUUGGGUUAAGUCCCGCAACGAGCGCAACCCUUGUUUUUAGUUACCAAUUCGUUGGGUUUUCUAGAAAGACUGCCGGUGACAAACCGGAGGAAGGUGAGGAUGACGUCAAGUCAGCAUGCCCCUUAUGUCCUGGGCUACACACGUGCUACAAUGGUUAGGACAAAGAGUUGCGAGCUUGUGAAAGUCAGCUAAUCUCAUAAACCUAGCCCAAGUUCAGAUUGUAGGCUGCAACUCGCCUGCAUGAAG
rnacentral:rRNA from 1 species